ACGACUGCUAAGACUGGAUAGGAAGAUAAAUGGCAUCUUUUAUCUUUUAAAAGACCUAGUAAUAGGUAUGCUUUAGGAGGGGCUUGCGCCAUAUUAGUUAGUUGGUAGGGUAAUGGCCUACCAAGACGAUGAUGUGUAGCUGGACUGAGAGGUUGAACAGCCACAUUGGGACUGAGACACGGCCCAAACUCCUACGGGAGGCAGCAGUAGGGAAUUUUCGGCAAUGGAGGAAACUCUGACCGAGCAACGCCGCGUGUAUGACGGAGUACUUCGGUAUGUAAAGUUCUUUUAUCAAGGAAGAAAAGCAAAUGGCGAACCAUUUGUUUGCCGGUACUUGAUGAAUAAGCCCCGGCUAAUUAUGUGCCAGCAGCCGCGGUAAGACAUAAGGGGCAAGUGUUAUCCGGAAUUAUUGGGCGUAAAGGGUGCGUAGGCGGUCUAGUAAGUCAGUGGUGUAAUGGCAACGCUUAACGUUGUCCGGCUAUUGAAACUGCUAAACUUGAGUUAGAUAGAGGCGAGUGGAAUUCCAUGUGUAGCGGUAAAAUGCGUAAAUAUAUGGAGGAACACCAGAGGCGUAGGCGGCUCGCUGGGUCUUAACUGACGCUGAGGCACGAAAGCGUGGGGAGCAAACAGGAUUAGAUACCCUGGUAGUCCACGCCGUAAACGAUGAGUACUAAGUGUCGGGUUAAACCGGUACUGAAGUUAACACAUUAAGUACUCCGCCUGAGUAGUACGUACGCAAGUAUGAAACUUAAAGGAAUUGACGGGACUCCGCACAAGCGGUGCAUCAUGUUGUUUUAUUCGAAGAUACCCGAAAAACCUUACCAGGUCUUGACAUGUUUUUGCAAAAUGAUAGUAAUAUCGUGGAGGUUACCAGAAACACAGGUGGUGCAUGGUUGUCGUCAGCUCGUGUCGUGAGAUGUUAGGUUAAGUCCUAAAACGAGCGAAACCCUUAUGGUUAGUUGCCAGCACGUUAUGGUGGGGACUUUAACGAGACUGCCAAUGAUAAAUUGGAGGAAGGUGAGGAUCACGUCAAAUCAGCAUGCCCCUUAUGACCUGGGCUACAAACGUGAUACAAUGGCUGUUACAAAGAGUAGCUGAAACGCAAGUUCUUGGCCAAUCCCCAAAAACAGUCCCAGUCCGGAUUGAAGUCUGCAACUCGACUUCAUGAAGUUGGAAUCGCUAGUAAUCGCGAAUCAGCAUGUCGCGGUGAAUACGUUCUCGGGGUUUGUACUCACCGCCCGUCA
rnacentral:rRNA from 1 species